rnacentral:miRNA from 1 species
CAUUGCACUCAAUAGUGGGGC